rnacentral:rRNA from 1 species
AACGAACGCUGGCGGCAGGCUUAACACAUGCAAGUCGAACGCAUCCUUCGGGGUGAGUGGCAGACGGGUGAGUAACGCGUGGGAACGUGCCCUUCAGUUCGGGAUAACCCAGGGCAACUUGGGCUAAUACCGGAUACGUGCGAGAGCAGAAAGUUUUAUCGCUGAAGGAUCGGCCCGCGUCGGAUUAGCUAGUUGGUGGGGUAAUGGCCCACCAAGGCGACGAUCAGUAGCUGGUCUGAGAGGAUGAUCAGCCACACUGGGACUGAGACACGGCCCAAACUCCUACGGGAGGCAGCAGUGGGGAAUAUUGGACAAUGGGCGCAAGCCUGAUCCAGCCAUGCCGCGUGAGUGAUGAAGGCCUUAGGGUUGUAAAGCUCUUUCGUCCGGGACGAUAAUGACGGUACCGGAAGAAGAAGCCCCGGCUAACUUCGUGCCAGCCGCCGCGGUAA